GGGGUUGUGGCUCAGUGGUAGAGCACUUGUUUAUCAUGCAUGAGGCUCUAGGUUCAAUCCUUAGCACCACA
rnacentral:tRNA from 1 species